AUGUUUAAGAUCUUCUCAUCAGAGAGUUUGUAUGCAGGUUUGAAGUUUGAAAACUCAAAGAUGCUUCAAAGGCAAAAUAAAGAACAGCCGUCGUAUUGUGGUCUCACAGGAUUUGGCCUACUGCAAUACCUCUGCUUCUGUGCAGCCACAAAGCCAGCAGACUCUUCUGGGAUCACAGUCGGUGAGUGUGGUGUAGUACAGAUUAGUGUGUGCACUGCUGUAAGUGUGUGAACCUCUAAAAAGGUAAUAUAUACAUUUUAUUAUUAUCAUUAAAUCAUCUUUGAUCACCUUAUUAUUUGUAAUUUAAAAAUGUAAAAAUUAUCAUUUUAAAAACAUUUUUGUUAAUGCCCACAACUACACACAACUAAACUACAUAAAUAUAAACUAUAUUGCACUGGUACAGUAUAUUAUACUCGGAGCCUAUUGAAAUAAAUUAAUGUAGACCUGCUGUUGUCAGAUGCUAUUGUUGCUUAGUGACAUCCAAUUAUUGAGUGAUUUCAACAGCCUGAUUUGAAUGUGCUAUAUUUUGUUUUGUUCUUAGCAGAAUGUGGUUCAGUUUAAGCUUGGAGAUCAGUUGAUCAUUUUAAUAAAGAUCAGCUUAGAAAUUAUCCACGAGACUCGAGUUAUAAGCAGAAAGACUCAAUAACAGGAGCUUUACAUCUGUAUUGAUUCUAAUUUAUAUAUAAAAUAAGAUAUAAUAUACUAUAAAAGAACUACAAUAUAUGCUGAAACAAUACAUUGAUUUAUUAAAUGCUGCAUUAAAAUAAUAAUAAUAAUAUAUUAAAAUGACACAAAAUGUUGAGUUAAACAUUUAUUAUUCUUAUUAUUGGAAUGUCUGGAGAGCAUUUCCUGGUUGUGUUCCUUAGAUGAGCACAGAUUGUAUAUUCUUGUGAAUUAUUUCAUGAUACCUAAUAUGGAUCCACCCACCUGGCCUUCAAACACUUUUCAUUUUUGUGUUAUUUUAAUUUCCCUGUGGACGGAGUAAUGCAAUAUUCAUGAAACCACAUGAAGAAUGUGGCCUUGAUGACAAACUGCAUAAGCAGAACACAGAUCCAGAAAUGCUGUAUUUUUGUGAUUGCAUGCAACAUUUCGACCCACUUUAAAAUCCCAGAUGUUGCUUUUACAUUUUUCAUGAUGACUUCAAAGGAGAUACAUUGAUAGUAGAAGGCCAUUAAUACAGCACUGCUGUGUUGAGAGUCGAUGUCUUUAUUCUAGGAUCUGAGAGAAGUUGAAGAUAUUGACAUCUCUGUCUUCUUGACAUCCAGACUUAAUCAGAUUAUUUUAUCGUAAAAGAUUUCUGUUCCCAAUUUAUGGCUUCUUUUUCGAAUGCAAUAAUAAGCCUUCCUAAAACACCUGCUUUAUUUUGCGUAAAG
rnacentral:lncRNA from 1 species